rnacentral:lncRNA from 1 species
CCCCGAUCCCGCCCCGCAGAGCCAUCGAUGGCUCCGGCUCGUGGCGCCCGCCUGCCGGCCUCGGCGCUCGGCUCGGCAUGCCUGCGACGCUGCCAUAGCGACGCGGACACGCAGCCAACUGGCGCCGCCCCGCCCGAGGCGCCCGGCCCCGCGACCCGCUAUCCGCCGAGGCCCCACGGCGCGGGCGGCCGGGGCGGCGACGACGGGGGCGGGGGGCGCGGGUCAGGUGACGGGGGCGGGCGGUAGGGGGACGCUGGGCGCGGGCCGGGCCAGGCGGGACCCGGGAUGCCGGGGAGGCAAUGGGGACGCGCCCUGGGGGCGCCCUGGCUGCGGGCCGGGCCGGGCGUUGGGGGCUCAGCGGCAGCCGGCAGUGAUGACUCGGCAGGGCGAUGGGGGCGCGGGCCACACAGAAGGAAAAGUGAACUUGCAUGGCUGGGAAAGCAUGGGCGGGGGUGUUGUGGAUGCUCCCGUUUGGUUUUCACCUGACGUCAUUUUUCUUUCUGGUCCAGGGGCCUCCCUGAUGCUUGGAGCAGAAAGAAGGCGCUGGUGGCUGGCAUCACCUUGGACAGGAGCUGGAGACUAGCCAGAUAAAGAGCACUGAACAAAUGCUGGUUCCAAAUCCCUGGCAGGGAUCAGAACGCCUCUGCUGUGCUGAAAGCCGACCCGAGCACAGAUCGUGAGCGGGCAGUUACAGGAGCUGCUGCCUGUCUGUCUAGUUGUACAAUGUCCUUUCAUUCGGGACACCAGGUAUACCUUUGCAAAUUUAGUGGUCCACGUCGUGGUGUCAGAAUCGCUGCAGACACAAGUCCCCCCUGAGGUGGGCGCCUCGUCCCUUGUCAACUGCACGCCUAAUACAGUGUGCACAGCCGUCACCAGGAAACGCUGCGGCCAGGGCACUGCUGACCUGCUUGCCGACUCACGUGUGGUUCUUAAGUGUCUUUUCAGAAUGCUCGGAGGCUCCUCUCAAGUUUCCUUGCAGAGAACCCUCACAAGGGUGUUGCCUGUAAAUGGCCUGAAUUUCUCAUUUGUACCAGUAGGUUAAAGAAGGAAUCCUCAAAACCCAGCAGCUGAAAUACCAGUUCAUUAGUGCAUUUAGCGCAAAGCACGGGCUCAGAGGCCUCCUGCGCAGGAGCCCAGGAGAGGGGAGGUUCCGGCCAGUGAUGAGCGGCCGCGUCCCGCUGGCAGAGAAAGCCCUGUCCGAAGGCUACGCCCGGCUCCGGUACCGGGACACCUCCCUGCUCAUCUGGCAACAGCAGCAGCAGAAGUUGGCAUCUGUGCCGCCCGGGACGUACCUAAGCAGGAGCCGAAGCACGUGGUACUCACAGUACGGAAAUGAGGCCAUCCUCGUCCGGGACAAAAACAAGCUGGACGUCUCCCGGGACACGGGGCAAUCCAAGUUUUGCUCUGUUAUGUAAUUCUGGUGUGAAAGCCUGAGCCCAGGCACCCAGCCGCCUUGUUGAUCCCUAGUCCUUACUGGGAGAUCCUGAACAGUGAACGUGAAGGUUGAGCUGUGGUAGAAGAACCCCAAAAUCCCAGAGAUGGCGCCCCGGCCCAUUCGCAGUCGGGCUGAUGGGUGGACUGGGCUCCUGGACUCCAUUCUGAUCUUGCAGGCGCUGUAGGCACAGGCCAGGUCCGGGGCCCGGCUAGAUGCUGUUUUGGUCAUGCUUCCGAAUAAGUCAAGCGGGAGGGACACCCCGGUUACAGACCCACCUCGUCACAUUCUUACAGGCUGUCCUUUAGGUUUCCCUUCUGCCUGGUAAAGAGUGGGUCAGAUCUAGAAAAAGGUGAAGGAAUUGGCAUCAUGUCGGGUCGCAGAUCCACGUGCGGGACCACGAUGUGCGGGACCAAGACGGAUUCACCCUAAACGGUCGUCGGCAGCAGCAUUUCAGCAGGGACUUUGUGGCACUUGAGUUUUGAGUCUAGUAACCAAAAUGAUCACUGCGUGUGAUGCACUGUGAUGGCUCCUACACUAGCUUCCUGAUGCUGGAGGUUUGUGGGGCAAAGGCAUCCCCAAAACAUUAAGGAAACCCCCAAAUUAUUAAGUUACACAAAAGCUGCUAACAGUGAUUUCAAAUUUAAUCACAGGGCUGAAAUAGGCAGGUCCUCAGCGGACAGCAGUUCAGCCUCUACUCCGAGGCUGCACCUCCCGGCCACCUGCAGUGUUUGAUGUGCGUGGGCCGUGAUCACACACAAGCAGCCUCGGCCCACCUGUGUGGGCAGCUUUAUGAGUCAUUUUUAAAGGAUUUGCUGUCUGCUGUAAUUAAGGUCUGUGUGGCGAGGUAAACGUGGAAGUGUCUUUUGUCAAAGCUGAGUUUUCUUUUCUAAAUAAAUCUCCUUUAGGAGCCGCCUUCCUUCCUCACUCCUUAUUUUGAUCUGUUUGCUCCUAAUAUCCUAACGUGGCUUUCAGGUUUUUUUUUUUUUUUUUUUUACAACAGUAACAUCUAACGAUUGCUAA